CUUUGAAAAUGCUGUUUUCCUUCCUGGCCUUCUUUCUCCGUCUGCAUCUUGAGGGAUUUGAAAUGCGAUUAGUGGGGAUGUCCUCACCUCCCAGAGCCACCCACUUUGUUACCUUGUUCUCUUUGGGAUGACUGAGAGUAAGCACAUCCCUGGGCACCUUAGGGACCCCCAACAAUGAAAUUCUGGCCUUUUCCCCCUUUCCCUUCUCUGUGUCCCAGUCAGGGUACAUGGAGACGGACUGCCCUUAUUUCAUGGAAGUGCUGUCUCUCUCUUCUUUCUUCUUUUGUUUUUUGGUCUCAGGGAGUGAUCCCAGGGGCGCUUAACCCC
rnacentral:lncRNA from 1 species